rfam:Operophtera brumata OBRT01_Sc13100, whole genome shotgun sequence.
GCCAACGUCCAUACCACGUUGAAUACACCGGUUCUCGUCCGAUCACCGAAGUUAAGCAACGUCGGGCGCGGUCAGUACUUGGAUGGGUGACCGCCUGGGAACACCGCGUGACGUUUGCU